AUUGAACGCUGGCGGCAUGCCUUACACAUGCAAGUCGAACGGUAACAGGUCUUCGGAUGCUGACGAGUGGCGAACGGGUGAGUAAUGCAUCGGAGCGUGCCCAGUAGUGGGGGAUAGCCCGGCGAAAGCCGGAUUAAUACCGCAUACGACCUGAGGGUGAAAGGGGGGGAUCGCAAGACCUCUCGCUAUUGGAGCGGCCGAUGUCAGAUUAGCUAGUUGGUGGGGUAAAGGCCUACCAAGGCAACGAUCUGUAGUUGGUCUGAGAGGACGACCAGCCACACUGGGACUGGGACACGGCCCAGACUCCUACGGGAGGCAGCAGUGGGGAAUUUUGGACAAUGGGCGCAAGCCUGAUCCAGCAAUGCCGCGUGCAGGAAGAAGGCCUUCGGGUUGUAAACUGCUUUUGUCAGGGAAGAAAUCUUCUGGGUUAAUACCUCGGGAGGAUGACGGUACCUGAAGAAUAAGCACCGGCUAACUACGUGCCAGCCGCCGCAGUAACAC
rnacentral:rRNA from 1 species